UGGGGAAUAUUGCGCAAUGGGCGAAAGCCUGACGCAGCGACGCCGCGUGAGGGAAGAAGGCCUUCGGGUCGUAAACCUCUGUCUAGAGGGAAGAAACCAUUGAGGUCGAACAGGCCUCUUUGCUGACGGUACCUCUGAAGGAAGCACCGGCUAACUCCGUGCCAGCAGCCGCGGUAAUACGGAGGGUGCGAGGGUUCAUCGGAAUCACUGGGCGUAAAGCGCACGUAGGCGGUGGCGUAAGUCGGAUGUGAAAG
rnacentral:rRNA from 1 species